rnacentral:rRNA from 1 species
GUCUGCUUGAAGGUAUAAGAAGUCUAGCCUGCUCUCUGAUUUAUUUUUUAAGGGCCGCGGUAAUUUGACCGUGCAAAGGUAGCGUAAUAGUUAGUUUUUUAAUUGGGAUCUUGUAUGAAUGGUUGGACAAGAGAAAUACUGUCUCUAUAAUUAUUAUUGAAUUUAACUUUUAAGUGAAAAGGCUUAAAUUAUUUAAAAAGACGAUAAGACCCUAUAAAGCUUUAUAAUUAGAUUUUAUUUAAUUAAAUUAAUUAUAAAUUUUUAAUAAAUUUUAUUAUUUUGUUGGGGAGACAAUAUUAUAAUUUUAGAUAACUGUUAAUAUUUAAUACAAAUAUAGAUGUGUAAAAGAUAAAUAAAAGAUCCUAUUUAAAGAUUAAAAGUUUAAGUUACUUUAGGGAUAACAGCGUUAUUUUUCUUGAGAGUCCGUAUCGAAAGAAAAGAUUGCGACCUCGAUGUUGAAUUAAAAUUUCUAAAUAAUUGUAGAAGUUAUUUAAGAAGGUCUGUUCGACCUUUAAAUUUUUACAUGAUUUGAGUUCAGACCGGCGUAAGCCAGGUUGGUUUCUAUCUUUUAAUAAAAGUUAGAUUAUUUUAGUACGAAAGGAUUGAAUAAUUAAAAAUAUUUUGGUAAUGGUAG